rnacentral:rRNA from 1 species
AGAGUUUGAUCCUGGCUCAGGAUGAACGCUGGCGGCGUGCCUAACACAUGCAAGUCGAACGGAAAGUUCUCGCCGAGGAGGCUUCGGCUGAUUCAUGAGAAUUUUUAGUGGCGGACGGGUGAGUAACGCGUGGGUAACCUGCCUCACACUGGGGGAUAACAGUUAGAAAUGACUGCUAAUACCGCAUAAGCGCACAGUAUCGCAUGAUACAGUGUGAAAAACUCCGGUGGUGUGAGAUGGACCCGCGUCUGAUUAGCCAGUCGGCAGGGUAACGGCCUACCAAAGCGACGAUCAGUAGCCGGCCUGAGAGGGUGAACGGCCACAUUGGGACUGAGACACGGCCCAAACUCCUACGGGAGGCAGCAGUGGGGGAUAUUGCACAAUGGGGGAAACCCUGAUGCAGCAACGCCGCGUGAGCGAUGAAGGCCUUUGGGUCGUAAAGCUCUGUCCUAAGGGAAGAAGAAGUGACGGUACCUUAGGAGGAAGCCCCGGCUAACUACGUGCCAGCAGCCGCGGUAAUACGUAGGGGGCGAGCGUUAUCCGGAAUUACUGGGUGUAAAGGGAGAGUAGGCGGGACUGCAAGUCUGUUGUUAAAUCCAACGGCUCAACUGUUGGCUGCGGCAGAAACUGUAGUUCUUGAGUGAAGUAGAGGCAGGCGGAAUUCCUAGUGUAGCGGUGGAAUGCGUAGAUAUUAGGAGGAACACCAGUGGCGAAGGCGGCCUGCUGGGCUUUAACUGACGCUGAGGCUCGAAAGUGUGGGGAGCAAACAGGAUUAGAUACCCUGGUAGUCCACACUGUAAACGAUGAUUACUAGGUGUGGGGGGACUGACCCCUUCCGUGCCGGAGUUAACACAAUAAGUAAUCCACCUGGGGAGUACGGCCGCAAGGUUGAAACUCAAAGGAAUUGACGGGGGCCCGCACAAGCAGUGGAGUAUGUGGUUUAAUUCGAAGCAACGCGAGGAACCUUACCAGGUCUUGACAUCUCCUGCAUACCAUAGAGAUAUGGGAAGCCCUUCGGGGCAGGAAGACAGGUGGUGCAUGGUUGUCGUCAGCUCGUGUCGUGAGAUGUCGGGUUAAGUCCUAUAACGAGCGCAACCCCUACGUCCAGUUGCCAGCGGGUAAGGCCGGGGACUCUGGAGGGACUGCCGGCGCAAGCCGAGAGGAAGGUGGGGAUGACGUCAAAUCAGCACGGCCCUUACGUCUGGGGCGACACACGUGCUACAAUGGCCGGUACAGAGGGCAGCCACCUGGCGACAGGGAGCGAAUCUCGAAAGCCGGUCUCAGUUCGGAUCGGAGUCUGCAACCCGACUCCGUGAAGUUGGAUUCGCUAGUAAUCGCGCAUCAGCCAUGGCGCGGUGAAUACGUUCCCGGGCCUUGCACACACCGCCCGUCA